rnacentral:tRNA from 1 species
AGGAGUGUGGCUCAGUGGUUGAGCACUUGCCUAGCAUGCAUGAGAUCUUGGGCUCAAUUCCCAGCACUGUAA